UCCAGCCAAUCCAGUGCUAACACCCAAGUUCUGAGCCAAUCCUGCGCUGCCACCUGUGUUCCCAGUCAAGCCUGUGUUGCACCUGGCUUUUCUUCCAGCCAAUCCCGUGCUACUGCCCCAGUUCGCAGCCAAUCCCGUGCUGCCCCCUCUGGGACUAUAUAAAACCUCCGAGGCUGCCACCACCCCUUAGGGUCUGUGCACUAUUUUUGGGGAAAAAAGUCAGUUUUUUUGGUUAGUGAGGCCACCCCAGAGCAUCCAGAACAGCCCCCAUGUGGGGCAAAGGGGCUCCCAGCACCCCACUCCUCCUCACUGCCCAGAGCUCGUUAAGGCCUGGUGCUGAUUGCCUUUCAGAGCUAAUGUGGGCACAGGGGGCUCUCAUUAACCCCUGCUUGGUACCACCAUUCUGCCAGCACAUCUCACGGAGCUGCAAUUAAGACAAAGCUCAUUUGCAUGCGGAGCUGCAGGCAUCCCGGGGGAAGUUCCCAGAACCAUUCCUCAUUUCUUCCAGCCAUCUGCUCCGACCCGCGGUUUGCCGUGCCCUCCAACAGCAGGUUUGUGAGCCAGAGCGGGGGAAACUGAGGCAGAAGUGUUUAAGCCAUGAACUGGAGGAUGUUCCCAACCCAUGGCCAUGAGCGACGCUGGUUCUGUGCGUGCAAAAUGGAAGAGGAGGAGGAGAGUUUGAGUCACCAGCUCAACGCUGGCAAUGGGAGAGCAAGCGAGGCCAAAGCCGGAGCCCUGGUUUUGCAGGCGCGAGGAGGGACCGUGAUGUACCGGUGGCUGCCGGAGAGGUCUGAGAUGUUGUCCCUUCAUCCAAGAUGUCCCCAACUCCAAGUCACCAUCCCAAGACACCAACCCAAGCUCUGAGACACCGUCCCCAACCUCAGAGACUUGUAGGUCCAAGAAAUGGUCCCCGGGUGCAAAAAACCCCUCAUUCAUGACCAUGGGACGUGUCCCCAAGUCCUGGGUGCUGUCCCCAAGCUGCGGAACGUCCCCAAAGAACCGAGGGACACACGGAAAAGCCAACAGCUCUCGCUUCCCAGCAAAACCCCUCCAAGGGGACCCAAAGAGCUCCAGGUCCCCAGUAAAUCGCCGUCCCCUCCCGCGGCACCGGCCGGGCAGACGAGAUCUAUAAUCCUGCCGCGCUGUCGGAGUAAAUCUCGCGGCUCUCCCAGCAUCGCCGAGACCCCAAUAAAUAUCUCCAUUUCCUGCUGUCCUGGAGGGAAGAUCCGAUCAGCUUUUAAAUGUCAGAUGUAAAGUAAAGUUUGUCAUAAAAAAAGCCUGUAAAAAUAAAAAGAAAGAAGAAGAAAAUACCCCGUGGAGGGAGGUCGGGAGAUGGAGCCGAGCGCGGCGGCACCCAGAGGUGUUGGGUGGUGUUUGGGGACCCCCUGCUCAUCAUUGUGGGUGUGGGGGGACCCAUUUUAGUCCCUUUUCACCCCAAAAAGGCUCCAUGGAGCUGCUGUUAGGAUGAGAGGAUAGGGAUGGCUCAGGCACACAGUGGGGGGGUUAAGGGCGAUUUGCGGCACGAUUCGGUGCGCGCCCCAAAUCCCGGGGGAUUAAUUUGUCGCAUCUCAACCCUUUAUCACCAAGGAGACCAAAAACCCCUGAAUUCCCCCCAAAAAUCCGCCCCCCCGCCUCACCAGUCGCUAAUCCCCCCCAUCCUCACGCCCCCCAUGACGCCAGCCCCUUGGGCUCCUCGGGAUCACGUCGUUCCACAGGCUAAUUAAGCGAUAAGACACAACGGGGCGUGGAUUUAUGGGGUGAUAUUUCACACAUAGGUGCGCGGUGGCACCAGGCGGCCACCGGCACGUCCCUCCGGCCACGGCGCCCGCCUCGGUGGCACCCGUGGGUCCCAGUUGUCACCCAUGGGUCCUGGUUGUCACCCUAUGGGUCUCAGUUGUCACCCUGAGGGUCCCGGUUGUCAUCCUAUGGGUUCCAGCUGUCACUCUGAGAGUCCCGGUUGUCACCCUAUGGGUCCUGGAUGUCACCCUAUGGGUCCUGGUUGUCACCCUGAGGGUCCCGGUUGUCACCCUAUGAGUCUCUGUUGUCACCCUGAGGGUCCCGGUUGUCACCCUAUGGGUUCCAGCUGUCACCCUGAGGGUCUCGGUUGUCACCCUGUGGGUCCUGGAUGUCACCCUAUGGGUCCUAAUUGUCACCCUGAGGGUCCCGGUCAUCACCCUAAGGAUCCCAGUUGUCACCCUAUGGGUCCUGGAUGUCACCCUAUGGGUCCUGGUUGUCACCCAUGGGUCCUGGUUGUCACCCUGAGGGUCCCAGUUGUCACCCUAAGGAUCCCGGUUGUCGCCGUAUGGGUCCUGGAUGUCACCCUAUGGGUCCUGGUUGUCACCCUGAGGGUCCUGAUUGUCACCCAUGGGUCCUGGUUGUCACGCUAUGGGUUCCAGCUGUCACCCUGAGGGUCCCAGUUGUCACCCUAUGGGUUCCAGUUGCCACCCUAUGGCUCCCGGUUGUCACCCUAUGGGUUCCAGCUGUCACCCUGAGGGUCCCGGUUGUCACCCCAGGGGUCCUGGUUAUCAUCCUGGGGAUGCUGGUCAUACCCCAUGGUGCAAACGUGGUAGGGAAAUAUUGCCCGCCAAGCACCACAGAUGAGGUGGGAGCACCCAAGGGUGUACCCAAGGGUGCUCCUCUGGUGGCAUAGGGGGAUUUUGGGUGCUUUGUGGGUGUCUUGGGUGCUCUGGGGGUGGUGGGGUGACCAGUCCUGCUCUGCUCCUGUGUAGCAUCCACCCAGGUGGAUUUGUGAUGCGUCACCUUGUCUGGAUGCCACCCUGGGGACAUCAGCUGGUCCCCCUGCCUGGGUGCUGCCUGAAUCUGGGCGGGAUGCAGGAUCACGCAUCUCGUAGUGUCACCUGCAGCCUGGUGUCACCCACAGCCCGGUGUCACCCACAGCCCGGUGUCACCCACUGUCCCAGCGUGGCUGCGCUGCCACCACCCCUACCCUCCCACGGCAAAAGAGCAGCUGCCCCCCCCACUGGUACCCUUGUCCCCAUCCCUGUGUCCCUGUCCCCAUCCCUGUCCUCAUCCCUGUAUCCCUAUCCCUGUA